rnacentral:rRNA from 1 species
GACGAACGCUGGCGGCGUGCCUAAUACAUGCAAGUAGAACGCUGAAGAAAGGAGCUUGCUUCUUUUGGAUGAGUUGCGAACGGGUGAGUAACGCGUAGGUAACCUGCCUUGUAGCGGGGGAUAACUAUUGGAAACGAUAGCUAAUACCGCAUAACAGCUUUUGACACAUGUUAGAAGCUUGAAAGAUGCAAUUGCAUCACUACGAGAUGGACCUGCGUUGUAUUAGCUAGUAGGUAGGGUAACGGCCUACCUAGGCGACGAUACAUAGCCGACCUGAGAGGGUGAUCGGCCACACUGGGACUGAGACACGGCCCAGACUCCUACGGGAGGCAGCAGUAGGGAAUCUUCGGCAAUGGGGGCAACCCUGACCGAGCAACGCCGCGUGAGUGAGGAAGGUUUUCGGAUCGUAAAGCUCUGUUGUAAGAGAAGAACGUGUGUGAGAGUGGAAAGUUCGCACAGUGACGGUAACUUACCAGAAAGGGACGGCUAACUACGUGCCAGCAGCCGCGGUAAUACGUAGGUCCCGAGCGUUGUCCGGAUUUAUUGGGCGUAAAGCGAGCGCAGGCGGUUUAAUAAGUCUGAAGUUAAAGGCAGUGGCUUAACCAUUGUUCGCUUUGGAAACUGU